rnacentral:rRNA from 1 species
AGUGAACGCUGGCGGUAGGCCUAACACAUGCAAGUCGAACGGCAGCACAGUAAGAGCUUGCUCUUACGGGUGGCGAGUGGCGGACGGGUGAGGAAUAAAUCGGAAUCUACUUUUUCGUGGGGGAUAACGUAGGGAAACUAACGCUAAUACCGCAUACGACCUACGGGUGAAAGCAGGGGAUCUUCGGACCUUGCGCGAUUGAAUGAGCCGAUGUCGGAUUAGCUAGUUGGCGGGGUAAAGGCCCACCAAGGCGACGAUCCGUAGCUGGUCUGAGAGGAUGAUCAGCCACACUGGAACUGAGACACGGUCCAGACUCCUACGGGAGGCAGCAGUGGGGAAUAUUGGACAAUGGGCGCAAGCCUGAUCCAGCCAUACCGCGUGGGUGAAGAAGGCCUUCGGGUUGUAAAGCCCUUUUGUUGGGAAAGAAAAGCAGCAGGUUAAUACCCCGCUGUUCUGACGGUACCCAAAGAAUAAGCACCGGCUAACUUCGUG